rnacentral:rRNA from 1 species
CGUUUAAAGAUUUAACUUUAAAUCCUGCCUGCUCCAUGAAUAUUUAAAUAGCUGUAGUAAUACACUAAGGUAGCAUAAUCAUUUGUUUAUUAAUUGUAAACUUGUAUGAAGGGUAAAACGUAUCCAUAAAUUGAAGUUUUUAUGAUUUGAAUUUUAGUUUCUGGUAAAAACGCUAGAAUGAAUUUUGGGGACGAGAAGACCCUAAGAAGUUUAUUAUAAAUUUUUGAAAUGAUGAUAAGAAUUUAUUUGGGUUGGGGCAACUCUUUAAGAAUAAGUAGCUUAAGGAUUAUAUUAUAUAUUAUUUGAUCCAUUAUUAGUGAUUAAUAGAAAAGUUACUCUAGGGAUAACAGCAUAAUGAAAGUUUAUAAGAUCAUAUUUGCAAUUUUGUUUAUGACCUCGAUGUUGAAUUACUUUACUAUAAGAAGAAGAAGUUUUAUAAGUGGGUCUGUUCGACCCUCAAAGAAGUACA